ACAAUGAAGAGUUUGAUCCUGGCUCAGGAUGAACGCUAGCGGCAGGCUUAACACAUGCAAGUCGAGGGGCAGCGC
rnacentral:ncRNA from 1 species